rnacentral:tRNA from 1 species
ACCGCUGUAGCGGUUCAACAUUAAAGUGCCAUAAAGUCAAUCAGCAUAAGGGAUGGCGGGUUUUUACAACGAGGGGCGGUCUUGAAAACCGUUAGGGUGCAAGCCCACAUGGGUUCGAAUCCCAUCCUCUCCGCCA